rnacentral:rRNA from 1 species
CGGUUAACGGAGCGAAAGCGACGUUCAACCUCAAAAGAAGCAGAGGGGGCUUAGUGGUGGGGUGACUGCGUACCUUUUGUAUAAUGGGUCAGCGACUUAUAUUCUGUAGCAAGGUUAACCGAAUAGGGGAGCCGGAGGGAAACCGAGUCUUAACCGGGCGUUAAGUUGCAGGGUAUAGACCCGAAACCCGGUGAUCUAGCCAUGGGCAGGUUGAAGGUUGGGUAACACUAACUGGAGGACCGAACCGACUAAUGUUGAAAAAUUAGCGGAUGACCUGUGGCUGGGGGUGAAAGGCCAAUCAAACCGGGAGAUAGCUGGUUCUCCCCGAAAGCUAUUUAGGUAGCGCCUCGUGAAUUCAUCUCCGGGGGUAGAGCACUGUUUCGGCUAGGGGGCCAUCCCGGCUUACCAACCCGAUGCAAACUGCGAAUACCGGAGAAUGUUAUCACGGGAGACACACGGCGGGUGCUAACGUCCGUCGUGAAGAGGGAAACAACCCAGACCGCCAGCUAAGGUCCCAAAGUCAUGGUUAAGUGGGAAACGAUGUGGGAAGGCCCAGACAGCCAGGAUGUUGGCUUAGAAGCAGCCAUCAUUUAAAGAAAGCGUAAUAGCUCACUGGUCGAGUCGGCCUGCGCGGAAGAUGUAACGGGGCUAAACCAUGCACCGAAGCUGCGGCAGCGACGCUGAUGCGUUGUUGGGUAGGGGAGCGUUCUGUAAGCCUGCGAAGGUGGCCUGUGAGGGUUGCUGGAGGUAUCAGAAGUGCGAAUGCUGACAUAAGUAACGAUAAAGCGGGUGAAAAGCCCGCUCGCCGGAAGACCAAGGGUUCCUGUCCAACGUUAAUCGGGGCAGGGUGAGUCGACCCCUAAGGCGAGGCCGAAAGGCGUAGUCGAUGGGAAACGGGUUAAUAUUCCCGUACUUGGUGUUACUGCGAAGGGGGGACGGAGAAGGCUAUGUUGGCCGGGCGACGGUUGUCCCGGUUUAAGCGUGUAGGUGUGUGUUCCAGGUAAAUCCGGUUCACUUUAACACUGAGGCGUGAUGACGAGGCACUACGGUGCUGAAGCAACAAAUGCCCUGCUUCCAGGAAAAGCCUCUAAGCAUCAGGUAACAUCAAAUCGUACCCCAAACCGACACAGGUGGUCAGGUAGAGAAUACCAAGGCGCUUGAGAGAACUCGGGUGAAGGAACUAGGCAAAAUGGUGCCGUAACUUCGGGAGAAGGCACGCUGACACGUAGGUGAAGUGAUUUACUCAUGGAGCUGAAGUCAGUCGAAGAUACCAGCUGGCUGCAACUGUUUAUUAAAAACACAGCACUGUGCAAACACGAAAGUGGACGUAUACGGUGUGACGCCUGCCCGGUGCCGGAAGGUUAAUUGAUGGGGUCAGCGCAAGCGAAGCUCCUGAUCGAAGCCCCGGUAAACGGCGGCCGUAACUAUAACGGUCCUAAGGUAGCGAAAUUCCUUGUCGGGUAAGUUCCGACCUGCACGAAUGGCGUAAUGAUGGCCAGGCUGUCUCCACCCGAGACUCAGUGAAAUUGAACUCGCUGUGAAGAUGCAGUGUACCCGCGGCAAGACGGAAAGACCCCGUGAACCUUUACUAUAGCUUGACACUGAACAUUGAGCCUUGAUGUGUAGGAUAGGUGGGAGGCUUUGAAGUGUGGACGCCAGUCUGCAUGGAGCCGGCCUUGAAAUACCACCCUUUAAUGUUUGAUGUUCUAACGUGGACCCGUGAUCCGGGUUGCGGACAGUGUCUGGUGGGUAGUUUGACUGGGGCGGUCUCCUCCUAAAGAGUAACGGAGGAGCACGAAGGUUGGCUAAUCCUGGUCGGACAUCAGGAGGUUAGUGCAAUGGCAUAAGCCAGCUUGACUGCGAGCGUGACGGCGCGAGCAGGUGCGAAAGCAGGUCAUAGUGAUCCGGUGGUUCUGAAUGGAAGGGCCAUCGCUCAACGGAUAAAAGGUACUCCGGGGAUAACAGGCUGAUACCGCCCAAGAGUUCAUAUCGACGGCGGUGUUUGGCACCUCGAUGUCGGCUCAUCACAUCCUGGGGCUGAAGUAGGUCCCAAGGGUAUGGCUGUUCGCCAUUUAAAGUGGUACGCGAGCUGGGUUUAGAACGUCGUGAGACAGUUCGGUCCCUAUCUGCCGUGGGCGCUGGAGAACUGAGGGGGGCUGCUCCUAGUACGAGAGGACCGGAGUGGACGCAUCACUGGUGUUCGGGUUGUCAUGCCAAUGGCACUGCCCGGUAGCUAAAUGCGGAAGAGAUAAGUGCUGAAAGCAUCUAAGCACGAAACUUGCCCCGAGAUGAGUUCUCCCUGAGACUUAGAGUCUCCUGAAGGAACGUUGAAGACGACGACGUUGAUAGGCCGGGUGUGUAAGCGCAGCGAUGCGUUGAGCUAACCGGUACUAAUGAACCGUGAGGCUUAACCUUACAACGCCG